rnacentral:rRNA from 1 species
AUACAGAGGGUGCGAGCGUUAAUCGGAAUUACUGGGCGUAAAGCGCGCGUAGGCGGUUUGAUAAGUCGGAUGUGAAAGCCCUGAGCUUAACUUGGGAACUGCAUUCGAAACUGUCUGACUAGAGUAUGGUAGAGGGAAGUGGAAUUUCCGGUGUAGCGGUGAAAUGCGUAGAUAUCGGAAGGAACACCAGUGGCGAAGGCGACUUCCUGGGCUAAUACUGACGCUGAGGUGCGAAAGCGUGGGGAGCAAACAGGAUUAGAAACCCCGGUAGUCC